GAUGAACGCUAGCGGCAGGCUUAAUACAUGCAAGUCGAGGGGCAGCGCGGGUAGCAAUACCUGGCGGCGACCGGCAAACGGGUGCGGAACACGUACGCAACCUUCCUUUAAGUGGAGAAUAGCCCGGGGAAACCCGGAUUAAUACUCCGUAAUAUUAUGAAGUGGCAUCACUUUAUAAUUAUAGAUUUAUCGCUUAAAGAUGGGCGUGCGCCUGAUUAGGUAGUUGGCGGGGUAAUGCCCACCAAGCCUUCGAUCAGUAACUGGUGUGAGAGCACGACCAGUCACACGGGCACUGAGACACGGGCCCGACUCUACGGGAGGCAGCAGUAAGGAAUAUUGGUCAAUGGACGCAAGUCUGAACCAGCCAUGCCGCGUGGAGGAU
rnacentral:rRNA from 1 species